GAAUAUAAUUUUUUGAGUGAAUUGAUCAAAAAGUUUCAAGCUAAUCCAAACAGGCUUAAAAGAAAAAUCAACAAAUAGUUGCUGAUCAAGAUAGUUAUAUGAUAACUUCUUGAAAUUUUUUAAUUGGUAAUACUACUACCUGAGUAUAGGAUACUGAUAGUACAAGUCAUAUUUCAAAUAGUUACAAAAGACUUCAGGAUAGUAGAAGGUUUGAAAACAGUGAGAGACUCUUGAAUGUAAG
rnacentral:lncRNA from 1 species